AAAGGAAUUACCUUAGCAUAAAUGUCAUUAGACAGUUUUAGAAGGGCUUGAAAUUACUGAAAAUUACACUGAGCUUUACUUCCGUCUCAAAAGAAUUAGCAAAUACAGAAAAAUAAUAUGACAUAUGCAGGGGCUGACAGCCAACAGUAGAUAAAACAAAACAUGUGAUAUAGACAUUUAAAAAAUUACUGGAAUAGUCUGGCAGGAAAAUAAAACAGUGUCAGGUGAGGCCCUAUCCUGAAAAAGAAAUACUUAAGAAUUGGAAAGCAACGCAUGGAAAUAAAUGGUAACUUUUUGUAGUGUAAAAAGUUGAUAUUGGGUGUUGUGGGGUUGUGUAUGAUGAUGUGCAAGUUGGCAUCUUUAAAAAUGUGGAGAAAGAAAUUCUUAACAAAAUAGUAAUAUUUGCAGACUUCUGUGUGAGAACUGGUGGAUGUAAAGGAACUGUUUGGUAAGUUGCCAGAUAGACUAUAGAAUGGUAGAAAUAUGUAGAAUAAAAGCAGUAGAAAGUAAGUUGCAUUUUCCUACUGAAACUUCUGCCAGCAGCAAUAAAUUGAAGUAGUCAGUGUUAAAAAAAAAAUUUUUAAAGAAUGUUAAAAUAAUAUUUGAGUCACACAUGAUAAAUGUGUAAAAUUAACUUUCUGAAUGCUGAUAGGACUUGAAAAAGAAUUUGAUAUUUAUAUAGAUACUGAACAUAUCCACGAUUAUAUUAAACAGAAAAUCUUGCCCAGAAUUUAUCUGGGAGCUGGAUAUUCCAUAUGACAAGUCUUAUGUAGAUAACAGCAUCUUGGGUCAAUCAACCCACUAGUUUGAUCUCAGUUGAUAAUUUUUUUAUUCCUUUGGUCAUCAAGCCCAGUACUUAGGUCAGAGCAGCCACUUAAAGGAACAGAAAUUGCUGUAUUUUCUCAGGAAAUGAGCGUAUGGGCUUGCUAAUAAUGCAGUAUAAAUUGCACAUUUUACAUCAGCUUUUAUAAUCAAUCAGCUUUGCAUAGCUGUUUCAUAGUGGCCUCAAAGGAGACUUUAAUGUAACAGAACUCUUUAAUUUAUUUUUUAUUAAAUAUUGAUUUUGGACUGGAAAGAAACCAUCAGAACCUGAUAUCAAUAUUCUCAGCUGUUUACAUUUUAAUGUGAUAUAAAUAGCUGUUAAACUUCCAUGUCUAAAAUUACAAUUUAUGGAUUAGUUUUUAUCCACUUGUUUCUUUCUGCUAGUUGUAAGAAGUAUGUAAGUGGCCAUGCAAUUUAAGGUUUGUUAAUGACUGGAUAUUUGCAACCUCAGUAUCCUGACUGUUGGACUGUGGAGCUAGGUGAGAUAGUACACAGAUCUUUUUCAGUUUUCUUCUCACAUAAAGGCAAAAUUAUGUAGCUUGUUCCUCAAAAUAGCUUUUUUCUUGGCAUAUUUUAUAUACGGUGUCUAAAAGAUACCGUCAGAAAAUGCUGAGUGACACUACACAUUUUUAAUGACAUACUUUAUGUUUGUAUGGCAGUAUUUUAAAAUAGGGUAAGGAACUGUAUGGACAUUUUUAACUUUCAUAUAGACACACACACAUGUACACAGUAAAGUUAGCCAAUAAUUUUCACAGGCAAUAAAGCAAAUAUAUGUAUAAGAUUCUUCUUUCAAAACCACUCUAUUUCCAGUUUUAGAUCUCUCUCAACAUUUCAGAGAAAUCCUCAGCUGCUGGUUGACAGGCCUUGGCAUCAACUAGGAAUGUCAGAGGAGAAAGAAUCCUAUAGUUAUGGAGAAGAAAAUUUCUGUUGACAGGAAGAUGGAGAGUAACUCUUCUGCAAGAACAUUAUAAAGAAAGACACAGAAGAAGAGGAAGCCAGUAUGCUUAAACAAAGUAAAGAAGAUGCUGUUCCAUUUUGGAGGUGGCAGGUCCAGGCCCAAUGUCUCCACUGCACUAGCAGGGCACUGGAAAGAGGACCACAUUUAGAAGAUCAGACAGCUAGGAAGAGAUAGUGACUCCAUCAGUGGUAUGGAAACCAGAUCCCUCUAGGACUUGGAAACUGAGGAUGUAAAGAAGCUCACAGAUGGGAAACAUUUGACAUUGUAGCACUUGAUUUGAAAAAGUUUUAAAUAAUUGCAAUUUUUCAGGAUGCCUGAUUUUAACAGGAAACUGCUUUCCUACAAAUGUAUUUAUCAUGGAAAGUGGUUUCAGAAGGACUUCUGUGAUACU